UUCGUAGGGGGCUAGCGUUGUCCGGAAUCAUUGGGCGUAAAGCGCGUGUAGGCGGCCCGGUAAGUCCGCUGUGAAAGUCGGGGGCUCAACCCUCGAAAGCCGGUGGAUACUGUCGGGCUAGAGUGCGGAAGAGGCGAGUGGAAUUCCUGGUGUAGCGGUGAAAUGCGCAGAUAUCAGGAGGAACACCGAUUGCGAAGGCAGCUCGCUGGGACGUUACUGACGCUGAGACGCGAAAGCGUGGGGAGCAAACAGG
rnacentral:rRNA from 1 species